AUUGAACGCUGGCGGCAGGCCUAACACAUGCAAGUCGAACGAGUGGCGGACGGGUGAGUAAUGUCUGGGAAACUGCCCGAUGGAAGGGGAUAACUGCUGUAAACGGUAGCUACUACCGCCUGCCAUCGGAUGUGCCCAGAUGGGAUUGGCUAGUAGGUGGGGUAACGGCUCACCUAGGCGACGAUCCCUAGCUGGUCUGAGAGGAUGACCAGCAAAACUGGAACUGAGACACGGUCCAGACUCCUACGGGAGGAAGCAGUGGGGAAUAUUGCACAAUGGGCGAAAGCCUGCUGCAGCCAUGCGGCGUGUAUGAAGAAGGCUUUCGGGUUGAAAAGUACUUUCAGCGAGGAGACGUUACUCGCAGAAGAAGCACCGGCUAACUCCGUGCCAGCAGCCGCGGUAAUAC
rnacentral:rRNA from 1 species